rnacentral:rRNA from 1 species
CCUACGGGAGGCAGCAGUGAGGAAUAUUGGUCAAUGGACGAGAGUCUGAACCAGCCAAGUAGCGUGAAGGAUGACUGCCCUAUGGGUUGUAAACUUCUUUUAUAUGGGAAUAAAAUGUUCCACGUGUGGGAUUUUGUAUGUACCAUAUGAAUAAGGAUCGGCUAACUCCGUGCCAGCAGCCGCGGUAAUACGGAGGAUCCGAGCGUUAUCCGGAUUUAUUGGGGUUAAAGGGAGCGUAGGUGGAUUGUUAAGUCAGUUGUGAAAGUUUGCGGCUCAACCGUAAAAUUGCAGUUGAAACUGGCAGUCUUGAGUACAGUAGAGGUGGGCGGAAUUCGUGGUGUAGCGGUGAAAUGCUUAGAUAACACGAAGAACUCCGAUUGCGAAGGCAGUUCACUGGACUGCAACUGACACUGAGGCUCGAAAGUGUGGGUAUCAAACAGGAUUAGAUACCCUAGUAGUC